CCAGGGAGUUUAUUAGAAAUGCAAAUUCAUGAGCCCCACCCAAAUCUGCUGAAUCAAGCUCUUGGGGUGUGGGGACCAGGAAUCUGCAUUUUGAC
rnacentral:miRNA from 1 species